GUGCCUCCCUCGGGAACACCCUUGGUUUCCCGACAACGUUGGGGCGGCCUGGCUUUUUUUUCUCCCGGCGACGUAAAACUCGCUCGGGCUGACAAGCGCCGGGCUAAACCAACGCAACAAAAAACCGGCGUGAAAUGCGCCAAGGAACAUGAAAGAGAGUGGGCUCUUCUGGUGUCAGUACUACUGCGCCAGGACGGGCGUUGUCUUCUUGAUGAGUUUAUAAUGACUCUCGGCAACGGAUAUCUCGGCUCUUACAUCGAUGAAGAACGUAGCAAAAUGCGAUACUUGGUGUGAAUUGCAGAAUCCCGUGAACCAUCGAGUCUUUGAACGCAAGUUGCGCCCGAAUCCUUUUGGUCGAGGGCACGUCUGCCUGGGUGUCACGU
rnacentral:rRNA from 1 species